rnacentral:rRNA from 1 species
GCCCAGCGCAUAACCUCCCGGGCUACCAAGCCUGCGGCGGAAUGUUGCGUUAAGGGAAAGGUCGUUAUUAAGCCCUGCACUACAUGGCCUAAGCUUUGGCUUGAAUUUCCACUGUUAUCCUAACGGGUGCAACGGCUCCACAGAGGGUGUUAGACCCGUGUGGCCAUGUGGUUAAAUGUGCGUGGGUUCGGCUUUAUUCCCUGAGAGUCGCGUUGCUUGGACAUGCAGCGCUAAGCAGGUCGUAAACUCGACCUAAGGCUAAAUAUUUUCACAGAACCGAUAGUAAACAAGUACCGUGAGGGAAAGUUGAAAAGUACUCUGAAGAGAGAGUUAAAAGACCGUGAAACCGCUUAGAGUAUAAGCCAAUGGUAUCCUGGAAGGCUGGAGAUGACGGGUGGUGCAUUCCCCAAUUGUGGGAGGUGUAUCCGAUGUUAACGUUUGUGCAAGUGAUCAUGAAGGCAACAGUGGGGAAUCCAAUGGAACAGUGGCAUUGAGUUGAUAACACUCCGUUUAAACCUUGCGGGUAACUGACAGUGGUAACAGGGAACGUUCUAAUGAGGAACCGAACCGAGGCUGUACUUUGGCAAGCUCUGGCUUUGAGGCACACGAACGAGUACUUUUAUACAGCUGCACCGCAAUCCUUUAUAAGGUCACCCUCGUGAGGUAAAGGAGAGAGUGUGGAGUGUCAAGCCCACUCUCUUUUCUCAUAUGAGCCGUGCGCGUUAUCCUAUGGUGUCUUAUAUGUGUGUGCGUGCAUUUAUUUGCUGUGCAUGCUCCUUCGCAUACUACCACCUUCGUGUGCAUGUGUGCGUUGGACCUGGGGUCGGCCGGCUUCUUUACCGUCCAGACGCGAGCUGGUAUGAUCCUAAGUGAAGAUUGUUUCUGACAUGCCUGAACCCUGUAGUGUGGUUCGAACUGGGCGCACGACUCAACGUAGAUGCAUUUUAACUACCAUGUCUUCGAAAUAGUUCUCUUUCUUGUGAGUUGGUAGGGAAGAUAGGGGCGAAGAUUUCCAAGGGUCUCCUGGAUACGCCUCAGCCCUAUGUCAACAGCUUGUGAGAACUGGAGGCAAAGCCAGGAAAACSGGGUGCAUUGGGGAACGGCUAAUCGGUGUAUUAUUCCAGAACCAUUGGUC